UCAGGACGAACGCUGGCGGCGUGCCUAACACAUGCAAGUCGAGCGGAGUUAUCCGAGCGGAAGUUUUCGGAUGGAAGCAUGGAUAACUUAGCGGCGGACGGGUGAGUAACGCGUGGGCAAUCUGCCUUUUACAGGGGGGAUAACACAGGGAAACCUGUGCUAAUACCGCAUAAUGUUAUCGGACCGCAUGAUCUGAUAACCAAAGGAGCAAUCCGCUGAAAGAUGGACUCGCGUCCGAUUAGCUAGUUGGAGAGGUAACGGCUCCCCAAGGCGACGAUCGGUAGCCGGACUGAGAGGUUGAACGGCCACAUUGGGACUGAGACACGGCCCAGACUCCUACGGGAGGCAGCAGUGGGGAAUAUUGCACAAUGGGGGAAACCCUGAUGCAGCAACGCCGCGUGAAGGAAGACGGUCUUCGGAUUGUAAACUUUUGUUCUUAGUGAAGAAAAAUGACGGUAGCUAAGGAGAAAGCCACGGCUAACUACGUG
rnacentral:rRNA from 1 species